rnacentral:rRNA from 1 species
AUUGAACGCUGGCGGCAGGCCUAACACAUGCAAGUCGAACGGUAACAGAAAAAAACUUUCUUCUUUCCUGACGCGAGUGGGGGGGGUGAGAGAUGUCUAUGAGACUGUCUUAUGUCGUGGGGGAACUAGUAGAAACGGUAACGAAAACCGCAUAUCCGCCCUACGGCUAACAGCAGGAGCUUUUCGCACCUUGCCAGAUGGAUUGCGCAGAUGUGGGAUUAGCUAGUUGGUGGGGUAAGGGCUCACCUAGGCGACGAUCCGUAGCUGGUCUGAGAGGAUGACCAGCCACACUGGAACUGAGACACGGUCCAGACUCCUACGGGAGGCAGCAGUGGGGAAUAUUGCACAAUGGGCGCAAGCCUGAUGCAGCCAUGCCGCGUGUAUGAAGAAGGCCUUCGGGUUGUAAAGUACUUUUAGCGGGGAGGAAGGGAGUAAAGUUAAUACCUUGGCUCAUUGACGUUACCCGAAGAAGAAGCACCGGCUAACUCCGUG